UACGUAGGUGGCAAGCGUUAUCCGGAAUGACUGGGCGUAAAGGGUGCGUAGGUGGUUUGACAAGUUGGUAGCGUAACUCCGAGGCUCAACCUCGGCACUACUACCAAAACUGUCGGACUUGAGUGCAGGAGGGGCAAUUGGAAUUCCUAGUGUAGCGGUGGAAUGCGUAGAUAUAUGGAAGAACACCAGUGGCGAAGGCGGCUCUCUGGUCUGUAACUGACGCUGAGGCUCGAAAGCAUGGGUAGCGAACAGG
rnacentral:rRNA from 1 species